rnacentral:misc_RNA from 1 species
AAAGAGGAACUGGCGCGGCGUCAAACUGGCCGCCCUCUGCAAAUUAUAGAUCACAGCAAAAUACGAAAUUCCAAUCUACAGGAAAUAGAAACUGCUCCUCCCCGUGCAACAACCAACAGCCACUCUUUUUCAGCUAUGACUAGGAAACCUCAGAGGCCACUGCGACUACCAUACUCUAUGAGUUUGGCUAUGAAGGGUGUCGGGUCAGAUCAACUACCCACGAUGAGCGAGAAGAAUUUUCCUUCAAUCGGUGGUAGAGGGGGGGGUUCUUAAGAAUUUGAGCAACGAGUUUCCCUCAGUCCCAGGAAAAG